rnacentral:rRNA from 1 species
ACCGGCAGCUCAAGUGGUGGCCAUUAUUAUUGGUCCUAAAGCGUUCGUAGCCGGUUUGAUAAGUCUCUGGUGAAAUCCCGCAGCUUAACUGUGGGACUUGCUGGAGAUACUAUCAGACUUGAGGGCGGGAGAGGUUAGGGGUACUCCCAGGGUAGGGGUGAAAUCCUAUAAUCCUGGGAGGACAAUCUAUGGCGAAGGCGCCUAACUGGAUGGAACCCGACGGUGUGUACCGAAAACCAGGGGCGCGAUCCG